rnacentral:rRNA from 1 species
CUCAGUUCGGAUUGGAGUCUGNAACCCGACUCCAUGAAGCUGGAUUCGCUAGUAAUCGCGCAUCAGCCACGGCGCGGUGAAUACGUUCCCGGGCCUUGUACACACCGCCCGUCAAGCCAUGGAAGCCGGGAGUGCCUGAAGUACGCGACCGCAAGGAGCGUCCUAAGGUAAAACCGGUGACUGGGGCUAAGUCGUAACAAGGUAAC